rnacentral:rRNA from 1 species
CUUAACACAUGCAAGUCGAGGGGCAGCACGUCCCGCCGUAAGGCGGGAUGGUGGCGACCGGCGCACGGGUGAGUAACACGUAUGCAACCUACCCUGUACAGGGGGAUAACCCGGAGAAAUUCGGACUAAUAUCCCAUAAUGAUAUUGAAAGGCAUCUUUUGAUAUUUAAAGCUCAGGCGGUACGGGAUGGGCAUGCGGAACAUUAGCUAGUUGGCAGGGUAACGGCCUACCAAGGCUGCGAUGUUUAGGGGACCUGAGAGGGUGAACCCCCACACUGGUACUGAGACACGGACCAGACUCCUACGGGAGGCAGCAGUGAGGAAUAUUGGUCAAUGGGCGCAAGCCUGAACCAGCCAUCCCGCGUGAAGGAAGAAGGCGCUACGCGUCGUAAACUUCUUUUCCAGGGGGUGAAUGAUUCCGAUGUAUCGGGAUUUGACGGUACCCUGGGAAUAAGCAUCGGCUAACUCCGUGCCAGCAGCCGCGGUAAUACGGAGGAUGCGAGCGUUAUCCGGAUUUAUUGGGUUUAAAGGGUGCGUAGGCGGAUUGAUAAGUCAGUGGUGAAAACCUGCAGCUUAACUGUAGACUUGCCGUUGAUACUGUCAGUCUUGAGUGUGGUCAAGGUAGGCGGAAUGUGUAAUGUAGCGGUGAAAUGCUUAGAUAUUACACAGAACACCGAUUGCGAAGGCAGCUUGCUGGACCAUUACUGACGCUGAUGCACGAAAGCGUGGGGAUCGAACAGGAUUAGAUACCCUGGUAGUCCACGCUGUGAACGAUGAGAACUAGAUGUUGGGGGGUAUAACCCCUCAGUGUCGCAGCUAACGCGUUAAGUUCUCCGCCUGGGGAGUACGGCCGCAAGGUUGAAACUCAAAUGAAUUGACGG